CUCGACUGUGUUGGCACCUACAACAGCAUUCCAGCAGAUCCUCCCCACCAAUGAAUGCAGUGCUGUAGAGGAGGAGCUCACAUGGGUAAGAUACAACAAAGAACAUCUGUGGGAGAGAGAGAGGGGGCCACAUCAUGCUCACUGACUUUGAAGGUCACCAGACACCCGUGCUGCCAAGAUGUUUACAUUUCUGAGCUGAUAGAAGAGGGAGCAGCUCUAGGGCUGGAGAGCUGCUGGUGCAUGUCAUCUUUUAAGCAGAUGUAGGAAUGCCUCA
ensembl:lncRNA